AGCUUUGCGCAGUGGCAGUAUCAUAUCCAAUGGAGUUUAUCCAAGGCAUGAUUAUUGCUAAUUAAAAACUUUUCCCAAUACCCGACCAUGACAACUUUCAAUAUAGUUGGCCCUGGCAAUUUUUGACUGUCUCUAUGGAGA
rnacentral:snRNA from 1 species